GAGCUGCUGCAGAAGAAAGAAGAAGAAGCAGCGUGGGGACCUGGGCGGCAGGAGCGAGCAAGCAAGAAGAGGAAGCGGAAGCGUGCAGAUGCGGGGGGGAAGGAGAGAGGCUCCCUGGGCAAAGCACCUGUCCCGUUAGCGGGGGCACAGUCACGUUUGAGUUGAGCGCUGCCGGCGCCUCUGGCGUCCCGGCGGGCUUUGUGCUGGGCGACCUCCCUGUAAGCAGGGCUCGGGUCUUUGCUGUAGUUGGCCUUUUGCCUUGCUGCUCCUUUGGCUGCCUGGGGAGCGUGGCCCCCUGUAACGGAGGGCGAGAGCCACCUCUCCGCACCUGAGUGGGAAAUGGAGCUCGCCGGACCCCGAGGCCACCCUGUAAGCAGGGUAGUGCCGUUUCCCUGCCCCUCUUGGUCCUCCGGCCCCUCGGCAUCGUUGCCUGAUGGUGGCCUGUCAACGCGACGGCCCCGUACUCGGGGUGCGCGCCACAGCAUUUGGCAUUUGGCCUUUGGCUUUACCCGAGAAGCCCCAUGGCACGUUGAGGUCUGUGGCCUCCGUGCAGCCUAGGGACAGGUCACAGGCUCUUGUCUGUUGCCCGUGGUUGUGGGUUAAUUCCCAGGUGUUGGCUGUGCUGCGUUGUCCUUCCCUUCUGGAAAGUCGUGCCUGUGUGUGCGUGUUCCCCUUCCUUUCCUUGUUUGUGUUUGUGGAGUGGUUGAGCGGGUGUGCUUUCCCUUUAGGCCUCCACAAAGAUGGCUGCAGCUUAGCUUUGACUUCCCGGGGGGGAAUGGAGGACUUUGGUGCAUGCCGCAAAAGGGGUGUUCCCUCUUAGUCCUGCGAGCGCAGCGAGUGUCCUGUCUUCCUACUAUUUUCCUUAGUGCAGAUCAGAGCCACACGGUAGUUCUGUGGCCAAGGCCUCCCUGUAGCCAGGGCUUGGGCCUGUCCUUGCGUGGCCGCCUGUCCUGCUGGCGGCGGUGACAGCCCCGUACUCGGGGUGUGUGUCCCAAGCUUCGGAGCCCUCUGUCCCUGAGCAGCCCGCCCGCCCUGUAAUCAGGUGUGGGGAGGCUGCAGCGUUGCAGCCGGCUGCUUUAGCCAUCCAGCUGGUGGGAGUGACCCCUCCCUGUCCCGUCAGAGGGUGCAGGUUGAGGUGCUGUUUGUGUGUGGGGUGACCUCCCCGCUCGGUGGGUCGAGGUAGCUCCCUGGGCUUCCAAAGACGAGACGUUGGUGAUGUUCUGCUGCUGCCGGGCGGGCCAGCCUGUAACUCAGGCGUUGGCGGGAGCCUCGUGCUCCGCGGGGCUUCUUGAAGAGGGUGAGGUGUGGGGGUACCGUCCUGUAGGCAGGGCUGUGUGUGCCCCCCGUGUGUGCUUGGUGAGCUGUGUUCUGAGAGACCCCCUGUACUCAGGUGGGAAUGUGGCCCCGGCCUUUCAGAGGCGCGGGGCCGUGAGAUGCGGGGUGGGGCUUGCGCCCUCCCUGGAAUCGGGGCUGGGAUCCCGACUGCGGCCUUUGGCCGUGCCGCCCCGCUGCCUGGCUGCUGAGAGUUGCUCCUGCCGCUGGGGGGGAAACCGAGCUCUGUGGCUCCAGGGGUGUUGUCCACCCGCCUGUAAUCAGGGUCUGGGUGCGCGAGCGUUUGUGCUCUGCUGGCAGCCUGUGUGGGGUGACCGCCCCGCUAGCGGGGUGUGGGUCGAGGUGCCCCGGACUGGGAGAGAAGGAGCCUCCCUCGGCCGUAGGGAUGGGGGCUGCCCUGUAAGUCAGGGAGCAUCUGUGUCCCGGAGUCCCAGGCCCUUUUCAUGGCGGCAGUGGCCGGGGGUCCCCUGUAAGCAGGGAAGCUGACUCUUUGGCUGCUGCUUUUUGUGUGCCCAGCCCCAUUUGCCCGGUCUGCCCGCCUCUGUGAUCCCCCGCAGCACUGGCUGGAAGUCUGCCGCGUGUCAGUGAGGAGCUGCUGCAGAAGGAAGAAGAAGAAGCGGCGUGGGGAGCUGGGAGGCAGGAGCAAGCAAGAAGAGGAAGCGGAAGCGUGCAGAUGCGGGGGGGAAGGAGAGAGGCUCCCUGGGCAAAGCACCUGUCCCGUUAGCAGGGGCACAGUCACGUUUGAGUUGAGAGCUGCCGGCGCCUUUGGUGACCAGGCUGGCGUUGUGCUGGGCGACCUCCCCGUAAGCGGGGCUCGGGUCUUUGCUGUAGUUGGCCUUUUGCCUUGCUGCUCCUUUGGCUGCCUGGGGAGCGUGGCCCCCUGUAACGGAGGGCGAGAGCCACCUCUCCGCACCUGAGUGGGAAAUGGAGCUCGCCGGACCCCGAGGCCACCCUGUAAGCAGGGUAGUGCCGUUCCC
ensembl:lncRNA